rnacentral:misc_RNA from 1 species
ACGUGAAAAUGCGCGCGAUGCAGCGCUUCUUCGAAGAAGGCGACAAGGUCAAAAUCACCUUGCGCUAUCGUGGCCGCGAAAUGGCGCACCAGGAAAUCGGCACCAAGCUGCUCGACAAGGUCAAAGCAGACGUCGCCGAAUACGCCAAGGUCGAACAAGACGCGCGCUUCGAAGGCCGUCAGGUGGUGAUGGUGCUGGCACCGCGCUGAUCACAAUCGCGAUUGAGCGCUCAAGGAUUGCGGCCCGUCAGUUUUGGCGGGCCUUUUUCUUUGGAAGAGUGUUCGGAGAUCAGUCGGAGCCGG